AAGUUAUAGUCCCCCGGCCCUCUGGGCUGGGGUCUUCUAUACCACCCUUUGUUUAUUACACCUUUGUUGCUUUGGCAGGCCUGCCCUCGGGCUGCUGGCUCCGGCCGGCUCGCGUCUGCCAGAGGACCUAAACUCUUCUGUUUAAAAUGUCGUCCGAGUACUAUAUAAUAAGUUA
rnacentral:misc_RNA from 1 species